GAUGAACGCUGGCGGCGUGCCUAAUACAUGCAAGUAGAACGCUGAAGGAGGAGCUUGCUCUUCUGGAUGAGUUGCGAACGGGUGAGUAACGCGUAGGUAACCUGCCUGGUAGCGGGGGAUAACUAUUGGAAACGAUAGCUAAUACCGCAUGACAACAGUUAUUGCAUGAUAACUGUUUAAAAGGGGCAACUGCUCCACUACCAGAUGGACCUGCGUUGUAUUAGCUAGUUGGUGAGGUAACGGCUCACCAAGGCGACGAUACAUAGCCGACCUGAGAGGGUGAUCGGCCACACUGGGACUGAGACACGGCCCAGACUCCUACGGGAGGCAGCAGUAGGGAAUCUUCGGCAAUGGACGGAAGUCUGACCGAGCAGCGCCGCGUGAGUGAAGAAGGUUGUCGGAUCGUAAAGCUCUGUUGUAAGAGAAGAACGAGUGUGAGAGUGGAAAGUUCACACUGUGACGGUAUCUUACCAGAAAGGGACGGCUAACUACGUG
rnacentral:rRNA from 1 species